AUUGAACGCUGGCGGCAGGCCUAACACAUGCAAGUCGAGCGGGGUUUUCGGACCUAGCGGCGGACGGGUGAGUAAUGCGUAGGAAGCUGCCCGAUAGAGGGGGAUACCAGUUGGAAACGACUGUUAAUACCGCAUAAUGUCUACGGACCAAAGUGUGGGACCUUCGGGCCACAUGCUAUCGGAUGCGCCUACGUGGGAUUAGCUAGUUGGUGAGGUAAUGGCUCACCAAGGCGACGAUCUCUAGCUGGUUUGAGAGGAUGAUCAGCCACACUGGAACUGAGACACGGUCCAGACUCCUACGGGAGGCAGCAGUGGGGAAUAUUGGACAAUGGGCGCAAGCCUGAUCCAGCCAUGCCGCGUGUGUGAAGAAGGCCUUCGGGUUGUAAAGCACUUUCAGCGAGGAGGAAGGGUGGUGUGUUAAUAGCACAUCAUUUUGACGUUACUCGCAGAAGAAGCACCGGCUAACUACGUGCCAGCAGCCGCCGUAACAC
rnacentral:rRNA from 1 species